AGAUUAAGUUAUUAAGGGCGCACGGUGGAUGCCUUGGCACUAGAAGCCGAUGAAGGACGUUACUAACGACGAUAUGCUUUGGGGAGCUGUAAGUAAGCUUUGAUCCAGAGAUUUCCGAAUGGGGAAACCCAGCAUGAGUUAUGUCAUGUUAUCGAUAUGUGAAUACAUAGCAUAUCAGAAGGCACACCCGGAGAACUGAAACAUCUUAGUACCCGGAGGAAGAGAAAGAAAAUUCGAUUCCCUUAGUAGCGGCGAGCGAAACGGGAAGAGCCCAAACCAACAAGCUUGCUUGUUGGGGUUGUAGGACACUCUAUACGGAGUUACAAAGGACGACAUUAGACGAAUCAUCUGGAAAGAUGAAUCAAAGAAGGUAAUAAUCCUGUAGUCGAAAAUGUUGUCUCUCUUGAGUGGAUCCUGAGUACGACGGAGCACGUGAAAUUCCGUCGGAAUCUGGGAGGACCAUCUCCUAAGGCUAAAUACUCUCUAGUGACCGAUAGUGAACCAGUACCGUGAGGGAAAGGUGAAAAGCACCCCGGAAGGGGAGUGAAAUAGAACCUGAAACCGUGUGCUUACAAGUAGUCAGAGCCCGUUAAUGGGUGAUGGCGUGCCUUUUGUAGAAUGAACCGGCGAGUUACGAUUUGAUGCAAGGUUAAGCAGUAAAUGUGGAGCCGUAGCGAAAGCGAGUCUGAAUAGGGCGUUUAGUAUUUGGUCGUAGACCCGAAACCAGGUGAUCUACCCUUGGUCAGGUUGAAGUUCAGGUAACACUGAAUGGAGGACCGAACCGACUUACGUUGAAAAGUGAGCGGAUGAACUGAGGGUAGCGGAGAAAUUCCAAUCGAACCUGGAGAUAGCUGGUUCUCUCCGAAAUAGCUUUAGGGCUAGCCUCAAGUGAUGAUUAUUGGAGGUAGAGCACUGUUUGGACGAGGGGCCCCUCUCGGGUUACCGAAUUCAGACAAACUCCGAAUGCCAAUUAAUUUAACUUGGGAGUCAGAACAUGGGUGAUAAGGUCCGUGUUCGAAAGGGAAACAGCCCAGACCACCAGCUAAGGUCCCAAAAUAUAUGUUAAGUGGAAAAGGAUGUGGCGUUGCCCAGACAACUAGGAUGUUGGCUUAGAAGCAGCCAUCAUUUAAAGAGUGCGUAAUAGCUCACUAGUCGAGUGACACUGCGCCGAAAAUGUACCGGGGCUAAACAUAUUACCGAAGCUGUGGAUUGUCCUUUGGACAAUGGUAGGAGAGCGUUCUAAGGGCGUUGAAGCAUGAUCGUAAGGACAUGUGGAGCGCUUAGAAGUGAGAAUGCCGGUGUGAGUAGCGAAAGACGGGUGAGAAUCCCGUCCACCGAUUGACUAAGGUUUCCAGAGGAAGGCUCGUCCGCUCUGGGUUAGUCGGGUCCUAAGCUGAGGCCGACAGGCGUAGGCGAUGGAUAACAGGUUGAUAUUCCUGUACCACCUAUAAUCGUUUUAAUCGAUGGGGGGACGCAGUAGGAUAGGCGAAGCGUGCGAUUGGAUUGCACGUCUAAGCAGUAAGGCUGAGUAUUAGGCAAAUCCGGUACUCGUUAAGGCUGAGCUGUGAUGGGGAGAAGACAUUGAGUCUUCGAGUCGUUGAUUUCACACUGCCGAGAAAAGCCUCUAGAUAGAAAAUAGGUGCCCGUACCGCAAACCGACACAGGUAGUCAAGAUGAGAAUUCUAAGGUGAGCGAGCGAACUCUCGUUAAGGAACUCGGCAAAAUGACCCCGUAACUUCGGGAGAAGGGGUGCUCUUUAGGGUUAACGCCCAGAAGAGCCGCAGUGAAUAGGCCCAAGCGACUGUUUAUCAAAAACACAGGUCUCUGCUAAACCGUAAGGUGAUGUAUAGGGGCUGACGCCUGCCCGGUGCUGGAAGGUUAAGAGGAGUGGUUAGCUUCUGCGAAGCUACGAAUCGAAGCCCCAGUAAACGGCGGCCGUAACUAUAACGGUCCUAAGGUAGCGAAAUUCCUUGUCGGGUAAGUUCCGACCCGCACGAAAGGCGUAACGAUUUGGGCACUGUCUCAACGAGAGACUCGGUGAAAUCAUAGUACCUGUGAAGAUGCAGGUUACCCGCGACAGGACGGAAAGACCCCGUGGAGCUUUACUGUAGCCUGAUAUUGAAAUUCGGCACAGCUUGUACAGGAUAGGUAGGAGCCUUUGAAACGUGAGCGCUAGCUUACGUGGAGGCGCUGGUGGGAUAC
rnacentral:rRNA from 1 species